ACCGCGGCCUCAGAUGAAUGUGGCUGUUAAGAGCUGCAAUAAUCCAGAAUGGCUACUCUGAUCUAUGUUGAUAAGGAAAAUGGAGAACCAGGCACCCGUGUGGCUGCUAAGGAUGGGCUGAAGCUGGGGUCUGGACCUUCAAUCAAAGCGUUAGAUGGGAGAUCUCAAGUUUCAACACCAUGUUUUGGCAAAACGUUCGAUGCCCCACCAGCCUUACCUAAAGCUACCAGAAAGGCUUUGGGAACUGUCAACAGAGCUACAGAAAAGUCUGUAAAGACCAAGGGACCCAUCAAACAAAAACAGCCAAGCUUUUCUGCCAAAAAGGUAAGUGUUGGCUAUAAAGACACUGUUUAAACACUGAAGCACUUUUGACUCUUAAAAUGACUAUUGGCAUCAUCCUACCUAGCUUUCUUCCCUCUGAGUAGAAGGGAAAU
rnacentral:sRNA from 1 species